rnacentral:rRNA from 1 species
UACGAAGGGGCUAGCGUUGCUCGGAAUCACUGGGCGUAAAGGGUGCGUAGGCGGGUCUUUAAGUCAGGGGUGAAAUCCUGGAGCUCAACUCCAGAACUGCCUUUGAUACUGAAGAUCUUGAGUUCGGAGAGGUGAGUGGAACUGCGAGUGUAGAGGUGAAAUUCGUAGAUAUUCGCAAGAACACCAGUGGCGAAGGCGGCUCACUGGCCCGAUACUGACGCUGAGGCACGAAAGCGUGGGGAGCA